GUCUACGGCCAUACCACGCUGAAUGAGCCCAAUCUCGUCUGAUCUCGGAAGUUAAGCAGGGUCAGGGCUGGUUAGUACUUGGAUGGGAGACAUAUUGUCAAAUUAGACUAGAGAAGGUAUGUCCUAUAGAAU
rnacentral:rRNA from 14 species